rnacentral:misc_RNA from 1 species
GGAAGGAUCAUUAACACGUAUCCACGUUCUUAUCAACUAACCCACUACGAACCGAUCUCCCCGAGACACUCCUAACAUACGAUCUGUCACUUCUGCGGUUAUAAUGGGUCCCUGUUCUAUCAAAGGUUCAGUGUGGCAUACCGUGUUGGCUACAUCCCGCUGCUGUGUUCACUCACGGCGGCGAGGGUGAGAGGUCGAUUACCUGGAUGUCGGGCUUUACUUCACCCUUCGAGUCUUCCCAUUUACCUGGCUCGCGGAGUGGAACCAUACCAAUCUCACCCUAUUUUACCCUAAUUGGCUAAUACUAGUUCCUCCUGGAGAAAUCCGGCCUGGAAUUCUAAGAUUUAUCUUAACUAAGCACAACUCUUAGCAAUGGAUAUCUUGGUUCUCGCAACGAUGAAGAACGCAGCGAAAUGCGAUAUGUAAUGCGAAUUGCAGAAUUCAGUGAAUCAUCGAAUCUUUGAACGCAAAUUGCGCUCUCGGGAUAGACCUGGGAGCACGCCUCUCUGAGUAUCGGUUCAACCUAUCUCGGUUGGCGCACUGAGCUAAGCCUUCGCGGGCCCUGUUCGUGCGCCUGUUCCGGAAAAUGAGAGUCUUGGCUACAAUCUAAAGCGGCCAAGUCUUUUGAAAUAUGUUGAGCUUAGAUCGACUAGUACUACCCGUCUGGCGCUCUUCGGAGUGUCAGACUAGCGCCUCUUGGCUCUUUCUCUACUAGUAACGUGGAUAAUCUCACCCUUUGUGGUGUCUUGAAACGUUAGUAAAGUUUUGGAAGGCUCCAGUCUCGAGACGUGAAAGAACCUAGCUUUCGAUCGACGGCGUUUAGAAUUGACUUUCCUGCACUGGGGCAACCUGGCUGCGGAAACAUUUUCGAAUUAGAUCUCAGAUGAAGCGAGAAGACCCCCUGAAUUUAAGCAUAUUAAUAAGGGGAGGAAAAGAAACUAACAAGGAUUCCCCCAGUAACGGCGAGUGAAGCGGGAAGAGCUCAAUAUGAAAAUCGGUGCUCCAAGCGGGUCAUCGAAUUGUAGCCUAGAGACGUGUCAUCAGCGUGUGAGCCAGGUACAAGUCCUUUGGAAGAAGGCAUCAGAGAGGGUGAGAAUCCCGUCCUUGACCUGGAGUUCGCCGCGUACGAUGCAUGUUCACAGAGUCGAGUUGUUUGGGAUUGCAGCUCUAAAUGGGUGGUAAGUUUCAUCUAAAGCUAAAUAUUGGCGAGAGACCGAUAGCGAACAAGUACCGUGAGGGAAGAUGAAAAGAACUUUGAAAAGAGAGUUAAAAAGUACUUGAAAUUGCUAAGAGGGAAGCGCUGGAAACCAGUCGUUACUCGCAGUCAUAUCGAUUGUUUGCUCCCGAAGGGGCGUGCUGUCAGUGGGUUAACCCUGUGCAGUAUGCUCGGACGGAGGGUAGAUGGUUCUGUGUCUGUGAGUGUGUCAGGAUCAAUUCGAUUCGCAGGAGAAAGCGAUGAGGAAGGUAGGGCUGCUCUCGGGCAGCCUGUUAUAGCCUUGUCGCCAUACUGUGGGUUGGAUUGAGGAAGUAAUGGUGCGCCUUUUUGGCUUGGUACCUUGCUCCUGCUGGAUCAGUUGGUUUGGAUAGCAAUGCUAUGCGGCUGACGAAGUCUGGUACUGGGUGAGACUACCAUAUGCACCAUCGCGAUCCUGACGAAAUGGUUUUCAUCGACCCGUCUUGAAACACGGACCAAGGAGUCUAACAUAUAUGCGAGUAUUUGGGUGGUAAACCCUGGUGCGUAAUGAAAGUAAAGGCAGCUUGUCUGCUGAGGUAGGAACCCGGCAACGGGGGCACUAUCGACCGAUCAUCACUUGUGAAAGAUUUGAGUAAGAGCAUAUCUGUUUGGACCCGAAAGAUGGUGAUCUAUGCCUGAACAGGGUGAAGCCAGGGGAAACUCUGGUGGAAGCUCGUAGCGAUACUGACGUGCAAAUCGUUCGUCUGAUUUGGGUAUAGGGGCGAAAGACUAAUCGAACCAUCUAGUAGCUGGUUCCCUC